rnacentral:rRNA from 1 species
UACGGGGGGGGCAAGCGUUGUUCGGAAUUACUGGGCGUAAAGGGCUCGUAGGCGGCCAACUAAGUCGGACGUGAAAUCCCCAGGCUCAACCUGGGAACUGCGUCUGAUACUGGAUGGCUUGAAUCCGGGAGAGGGAUGCAGAAUUCCAGGUGUAGCGGUGAAAUGCGUUGAUAUCUGGAGGAAUACCGGUGGCGAAGGCGGCAUCCUGGACCGGCAUUGACGCUGAGGAGCGAAAGCCAGGGGAGCAAACGGG